GACGAACGCUGGCGGCGUGCUUAACACAUGCAAGUCGAACGGAAAGGCCCUGCUUUUGUGGGGUGCUCGAGUGGCGAACGGGUGAGUAACACGUGAGUAACCUGCCCUUGACUUUGGGAUAACUUCAGGAAACUGGGGCUCAUACCGGAUAGGAGCUCCUGCUGCAUGGUGGGGGUUGGAAAGUUUCGGCGGUUGGGGAUGGACUCGCGGCUUAUCAGCUUGUUGGUGGGGUAGUGGCUUACCAAGGCUUUGACGGGUAGCCGGCCUGAGAGGGUGACCGGCCACAUUGGGACUGAGAUGCGGCCCAGACUCCUACGGGAGGCAGCAGUGGGGAAUAUUGCACAAUGGGCGGAAGCCUGAUGCAGCAACGCCGCGUGCGGGAUGACGGCCUUCGGGUUGUAAUCCGCUUUCGCCUGUGACGAAGCGUGAGUGACGGUAAUGGGUAAAGAAGCACCGGCUAACUACGUG
rnacentral:rRNA from 1 species